AUUGAACGCUGGCGGCAGGCCUAACACAUGCAAGUCGAACGUUAACAGGAAGCACCUUGCUGCUUUGCUGACGAGUGGCGGACGGGUGAGUCAUGUCUGGGAAACUGCCUGAUGGAGGGGGAUAACUCCUGGAAACGGUAGCUAAUACCGCAUAAUGUCGCAAGACCAAAGAGGGGGACCUUCGGGCCUCUUGCCAUCGGAUGUGCCCAGAUGGGAUUAGCUAGUAGGUGGGGUAAAGGCUCACCUAGGCGACGAUCCGUAGCUGGUCUGAGAGGGUGACCGGCCACACUGGAACUGAGACACGGUCCAGACUCCUACGGGAGGCAGCAGUAGGGAAUAUUGCACAAUGGGCGCAAGCCUGACGCAGCAAUGCCGCGUGUAUGAAGAAGGCCUUCGGAUUGUAAAAUACUUUCAGCGGGGAGGAAGGGAGUAAUGUGAAUACCUUUGCGUAUUGACGUUACCCGAACAAGAAGCACCGGCUAACUCCGUG
rnacentral:rRNA from 1 species